GGCGGCGUGCCUAACACAUGCAAGUCGAACGAGAACGGGUAUUAGUUUACUAAUACUGUCAGCUAAGUGGCGCACGGGUGAGUAAUAUAUAGUUAACCUGCCCCAAAGAAGAGAAUAAUUGUUGGAAACGACUUGUAAUGCUCUAUAUGCCUUUAUUACAUAAGUAAGCAAGGGAAAUAUUUAUAGCUUUGGGAUGGGACUGUACGGUAUCAGUUAGUUGGUGAGGUAAUGGCUCACCAAGACAAUGACGCCUAACUGGUUUGAGAGGAUGAUCAGUCACACUGGAACUGAGACACGGUCCAGACUCCUACGGGAGGCAGCAGUGGGGAAUAUUGCACAAUGGAGGAAACUCUGAUGCAGCAACGCCGCGUGGAGGAUGACACAUUUCGGUGCGUAAACUCCUUUUAUAUGAGAAGAUAAUGACGGUAUCAUAUGAAUAAGCACCGGCUAACUCCGUGCCAGCAGCCGCGGUAAUACGGGGGGUGCAAGCGUUACUCGGAAUCACUGGGCGUAAAGAGCAUGUAGGCUGGUUUGUAAGUUGGAAGUGAAAUCCUAUGGCUUAACCAUAGAACUGCUUCCAAAACUGCAGACCUAGAAUAUGGGAGAGGUAGAUGGAAUUUCUGGUGUAGGGGUAAAAUCCGUAGAGAUCAGAAGGAAUACCGAUUGCGAAGGCGAUCUACUGGAACAUUAUUGACGCUGAGAUGCGAAAGCGUGGGGAGCAAACAGGAUUAGAUACCCUGGUAGUCCACGCCCUAAACGAUGCACACUAGUUGUUGCUAUGCUAGACAUAGCAGUAAUGCAGUUAACACAGUAAGUGUGCCGCCUGGGGGAGUACGGUCGCAAGAUUAAAACUCAAAGGAAUAGACGGGGACCCGCACAGCGG
rnacentral:rRNA from 1 species